rnacentral:rRNA from 1 species
GACGAACGCUGGCGGUGUGCUUCACACAUGCAAGUCGAACGAGGUAGCAAUACCUAGUGGCGGACGGGUGAGUAACGCGUGGGAAUCUGCCUUUAGAUGGGGGAUAACGGGUCGAAAGACUCGCUAAUACCGCAUAUGACGAAAGUUGAAAGGAGUAAUCCGUCUAAAGAUGAGCCCGCGUCCGAUUAGCUAGUUGGUAAGAGUAAAAGCCUACCAAGGCGACGAUCGGUAGCUGGUCUGAGAGGAUGAUCAGCCACAAUGGGACUAGAGACACGGCCCAUACUCCUACGGGAGGCAGCAGUGGGAAUUUACGCAAUGGCGAAAGCCUGACGUAGCGACACCGCGUGAGCGAAGAAGCCCUGGGUGUAAAGCUCUGUCAGCUGGAACGAAAAAAUGACGGUACCAGCAGAGGAAGCAUCGGCUAACUACGUGCCAGCAGCCGCGGUAAU